AAAGGAAACCAAGAUCUGCGCAGGGAUUUCCUCUGCCCAUUCCUCCCACCUCACCCUUCAAACCUAAACUUGAGCCUGUUGCUCACUGGGCUAGCAUUGCUCUCACCAUGGCUCUCAGCAAUGCUGAUGUGCAAAAGCAGAUAAAGCAUAUGAUGGCUUUCGUUGAACAAGAAGCCAAUGAGAAAGCAGAAGGAAUAGAUGCAAAGGCAGAAGAAGAGUUCAACAUAGAGAAAGGUUGGCUUGUGCAAACCCAAAGACUAAAGAUUAUGGAAUAUUAUGAGAAGAAAGAGAAACAGAUUGAGCAGCAUAAGAAAAUUCAGAUGUCCAAUUUGAUGAAUCAAGCAAGACUCAAAGUCCUCAGAGCGAGAUGACCUUAUCACAGGUUUGUACCAGUUGCUGGAGCCCUGAAUGAUUGAUUGUUGCAGGAAACAAGAUUUCCCUCUGGUAAAGGCUGCGAUGGAAAAGGUAAUCCUUAUGUACAAAAUUGCCACCAAAAAAGAUGUUGAUGUCCAAAUUGACCAGGAGUCCUGCCUGCUGGAGGACAUAGCUGGUGCAGUUGACAUAUAUAAUGGGGAUCGUAAAAUAAAGGUUUCCAAUACCCUGGAAAGCUGGCUGGAUCUCAUAGUCCAGCAGAUGAUGCCAGAAGUCAGGGGGGCUUGUUCAGGGCAAAUGCCAACAGGAAGUUUUGGACUAAGCCUUCGGGAGGUGGAGCUCGUCCUUAGCUCUCCUGCUGUGAUGUGGAAGCUUCUGAUAUUUGAAGAAACACAAAUGUCUCUGUAGCUUCCCCUUUACUGCCCCAGUAUUGCUCUGUAUUUAUCAGUGAUGCCCCUCUGUCACCAAUGCCUUGCCUAAUUGUUCACAGUGGUGGAAAGCUUCAUGUAAUAUGAUCAGGACUCACCUCCAGUUCAACU